UUUUCCCUCACCCGCACAGCCCCUGUUGCAACUUGCACGCCCAUUUCAUUUUCUUCUUCUCCCUUUCUUCUUUCUUCUCCAUUUCUUCUGCUUUGUUCUUCUGCUCGAGUGACCCACAGAGAGUGAAACAGAGAGAGGGAGACUCGAGAGACGGAGAUUGAGAAAGAGAGAAAGGGGAGUUUGAGAGAGUGAGUCCGAGAGAGAGAGUGAAGCUGUCGGAGAGGGAGUGCGAACCGGAGAAGAAGAGAAACCCAGAGACCCGUAGCAGACUCGAGCCGAGCCCGUCGACGUCGGUGACCCGUGACCUGUGGAGAACCGAAGGGUGAAACCCGAUCCUCCUGAAAGCCCGAUUUUUCCCGGUGUUUCAGUGUGGGUCAGAGCAGGGGACAUCGGUGGGGCCAAAGGAGUGAUUUCCGGGGGAUUUUGGAGCAAAAUCCGGCGACUCCCGGUGGAUUUCCGGCGAAUUUUCCGGCGGCCCAGUGAGGGAUUUCCGGUGGUUCUUGAGCUCCAUUUUUUUAGAUCAGAGAAGUGGUUCAUGACCCUCACGUGCAGGACCAGGGAGAAAGCUCCUCGGCGCGUGUUGGCCACCCGCCUAACAAGGGAGAACCACACGGCCACGGCGUGUGACUACUGGACCGAAGGAGGCCGACGACCACCACAGGGAGGCGUGUGUCGCAUGAAUUCGAGCCAAAACGCAUAGAUCUAGCACCAAAGAAAAAAUCACACUGAUAAAGCACAGUCAGAAACGCCUCGUAGGAGACACACCACAAGCACCAAAACCACAAAACCAGUAGCUUGAAACUCCUUCUGCUGGAAAAGAAAAACAAAGAAACAACUAAAGAAAUAAAACAACCAAGCUCCAUAGCUAGAAGCUAGGAGAAAAACAGCCCCCACCGGGUCAGACUGGGAGGAAUAAAAAUCUCCACAACCUUAAGGGCUGGAAGUGAAAAACUAAACCCCCUGGAAACAAGCCUGGGAGAGAACAAAAAAAACCACCCUAGCCCUUUCAAGACUAGGGGGAGACCAAACACCGGGAGGGGGAGGCGUGAAGCCUCCCCCCCCGGCGACCAAAACAUUACGAGGGGCUCUCUCUCUACGAAGGCUCUCGAGACUUUCUCUCUCUAAUGUGACAUAACUCGAAAUCCAAAAAAUUUGAAAAUGAAAGGGUCCGGUGAGCUCUCUCUCUAAGAAGAUUCUUAAAAUAAUGUCAUCAACAUGUUUGUAAUACCAUAUCCUCCACCUCCUCCAAAACACAAGCGGCCCAAUUACAAUUCCAAAGCCAAAAACAAAUCCCAAUUCAGCACAUAUGUAAUUUCACUCAAUCAUACUCCUAUGACUUUCUUCAUAUGUUGGAGGUGGCAAUCGUGCCUCCUCAUGUGAGCACUGUGAUUUCAAAGGCAAAUCACAUAAUCUUCUGUUUCCUUUGACUGAAGCUUCUGGAAAUGUAGCAAAUUGCUUGUUGAAUGAAA